rnacentral:tRNA from 1 species
GGCUGGGUAGCUCAGUGGAUGAGAGCCACGCCUAGAGGUGGGAGGUCCUAGGUUCGAAUCCAGCCUCAGCCA